AAUGAACGCUGGCGGCAUGCCUAACACAUGCAAGUCGAACGAAGGCUUCGGCCUUAGUGGCGCACGGGUGCGUAACGCGUGGGAAUCUGCCCUCAGGUUCGGAAUAACAGCGAGAAAUUGCUGCUAAUACCGGAUGAUAUCGCGAGAUCAAAGAUUUAUCGCCUGAGGAUGAGCCCGCGUAGGAGUAGCUAGUUGGUGUGGUAAAGGCGCACCAAGGCGACGAUCCUUAGCUGGUCUGAGAGGAUGAUCAGCCACACUGGGACUGAGACACGGCCCAGACGCCUACGGGAGGCAACAGUGGGGAAUAUUGGACAAUGGGCGAAAGCCUGAUCCAGCAAUGCCGCGUGAGUGAUGAAGGCCUUAGGGUUGUAAAGCUCUUUUACCCGGGAUGAUAAUGACAGUACCGGGAGAAUAAGCUCCGGCUAACUCCGUGCCAGCAGCCGCGGUAA
rnacentral:rRNA from 1 species